AACGCGCCUAUUCAUUCGCGAAUCAGAAAUCGCUAUUUAAACAAGUCUAGCGUCGCCAUUUUUGACGUGACUGGUUUGAUUUUGGAACGCUUUACGUUGGCAGGAAAUUUUAACAUUUAACGUCUUUCCGUGCGAAUCGAACCCAAGACCUUCACGUUGCUAACGCUGAUUCUACUGUUUAAGCUACAAGUGUUACAGGGGCCCAUCUUGAGCAGUUAUGCCUGACUGCGGCUCUGCUGGAGAAAUCGUAGGGGUCUUUUCAGCUCUCGGAGCUGCCAGAGGAUCAAGCAGGCAGUUCUGAUGUCGGUCCAGUCGCCGCCGGUGUUCACGGGGUCGUGGCAGGCGAUCCCGCGUCCUCGUUUGCAUAGGAGAACGAAUGGAAUGUCGAAACUCUCCAUAGGGCAGUGCAUGACUUAAACCUGGAACUGAACAUCACUCCCAGCAUGAGUCUGGCCCACAGGAGGAAGAAAUAAGACGUGACACCAAUAUAACUGACAAAACAGAUGCACACUCCAUAAUGCACCAGCAGGACACGGAAACCGCCAUUGCUUUUGUUUCCCAAGGCGUUAAGAAAGGCUUUAAAUAACUCAUUUGGACAUAUGGACGACAUCACUGCUUUACUUGGGAUGCUUUAUGCAUAUUCCACAUUGCAUUACACAGGUGCAGCACAAUAAUAAAUAAAGAAAGAAAGCCUCCUCUUGUCACUUACUUUCUCUCUCUUGUUGUUUCUUUAUGUUAGCCAGGCCUGUGUCUCUGCCCACCUGUCUUCAGUGGGCACAGAUUGGGGCAGCAGACGUCCAUGCGGGUAUUUAGAUUUGUGCACAAAGCCUGGUG